rnacentral:tRNA from 1 species
GGGCUGCAAGCAUUCGUGGCCGAUGCACCGGUCUUUUAAACCGGGGAACUCGGUUCGAUUCCGAGGUGGCCUACCA